rnacentral:rRNA from 1 species
CCUACGGGGGGCUGCAGUGGGGAAUAUUGGACAAUGGGGGCAACCCUGAUCCAGCCAUGCCGCGUGUGUGAAGAAGGCCCUCGGGUUGUAAAGCACUUUCAGUGAGGAAGAACGCCUGGUGGUUAAUACCCAUCAGGAAAGACAUCACUCACAGAAGAAGCACCGGCUAACUCCGUGCCAGCAGCCGCGGUAAUACGGAGGGUGCGAGCGUUAAUCGGAAUUACUGGGCGUAAAGCGCGCGUAGGUGGCUUGAUAGGCCGGUUGUGAAAGCCCCGGGCUCAACCUGGGAACGGCAUCCGGAACUGUCAAGCUAGAGUGCAGGAGAGGAAGGUAGAAUUCCCGGUGUAGCGGUGAAAUGCGUAGAGAUCGGGAGGAAUACCAGUGGCGAAGGCGGCCUUCUGGACUGACACUGACACUGAGGUGCGAAAGCGUGGGUAGCAAACAGGAUUAGAUACCCCUGUAGUC